rnacentral:tRNA from 1 species
GUCUGCGUGGUGUAAUGGCAACACUCCAUCUUCCCAAGCUGGUAAUGCGGGUUCGAUUCCCGUCGCAGACUCCA